CGAAGCGUGUCAGGACCUGACGGUAGCAGCACUAAGUAUGGAGCUUAUGUGCUCUUUUUUGUAUCCUUAUUUAUGGUAAAGUAUCAUUAUA
rnacentral:SRP_RNA from 1 species